rnacentral:lncRNA from 1 species
AAAUUAUCAACUUGAACUUGCAAUAGAUUAUUCUGAAAUGAAUAAUAUAAAAUAGAGUGACUAAGCAAGGACAAUAACUCUCAUUGGUACUUUUACGUCCCCUAGAAAUCACUGAACCCUGUAAUUCAAAUGAAUAUAGCAAACAUGAGUAAGUAUAAUUAUUUAUCUUUAGUGCCAGACUCCUGGAAAUGACUAAGUAAUGUAGUCACGUGCACAUAACGAUGUUUCAGUCAACGACAGACCACAUACACAAUGGUGGUCCCAUUAGAUUAGUACCAUAGAGCCUAGGUGUGUAGUAGGCUGUACCGUCUAGGUUUGUGUAAGUGCACUGUAUGAUGUUCACACUAUGAUGAAGGCGUCUAAUGUCAUGUUUGUCAGAACGCAUCCCCAUCGGUAAGCAACGAUGACUCUAUUUAAAGAUUGCUAAGCAAAUCAGGAGUGUUAAGUAAAUUAGCUCCUAGGCCUCCCCUCCCCCCAAAAAAGUUGAUAACCAAGAUUCGAGUAAAAUAAACAGGAUGACAAUUCCUCGUUUGUGGGUCUCAGAAUCUAGGCCUGCCUUUGCUAGUAUCUUUCCCUGUUUAUCCCCCAGGUUUAUUACUGGUUUUCCCUGCUAACGUGUUUUAUGGUUGUGUUUGUUUGUUAAAUUGUCUACAAAUGUACUUGUGCAAGGAUAUUAUUGAAAAACCUUAAAUAUUACAAGACAACUACAGUUUUAAUCAUCAGGUUUGAAACUUUCAUUGAUAUUUUUGUUUUUAAAAAGGAAAUCAUGGAACUACUUCUUUGCUUAUUUAGGAGUACCCGAUGAAUUUUAACAAUUUAUUCUUUGAAUAUUUUGCUUAUUGUGCAUUCUAUUUUUACUAGAAAGCAGGUUCUUCAUAUUUUGCUCCCUGGAAAUUAUGCGAGCAUGUGACCGUGACUGAAGUGCCUAUCUGUGCAGCCUGCAGUCGAGUAGCAGGGAUGUUGGGUCAAUGUUAGUCCCUGCAGAGGUUUCAGCGGAGGAUGCUAAAAAGGCGGAGGGACCACAGUUACUUGAAUGUAAGCGCCAGAAGAUAAGGAACCUUGUCUGUCCUGUUUCCCAUGAUACACCUAGCGCCCGGAAGAACGCAUGGAAUAAAGCAACACUCAGUAUAGUUUGUGGGAUGAAUAAAUUGUUACCGGAAACGAGAAGCAGCCAGAUAGGUCAAAAUAAUUUCAAGAUUGAAAGCUUGACCAAGAUAAUCAGGUGCUGGGCGCUCAUCGGAACAAGAUGGGCAGAGUCUCCGUGGUCAUGGAUCUAGGAGAGACAAGACAAAAACACUAAGUAAACUGAAGAUGAACAAGGCAACUACAAAUUGUGGCAAAUGUCAUGAAGAAACAAGAGAGCAAGAAAGAGAAACUUUAGAAAAGGAUAAUUUCUCUGACUGAUCCCAAGAUCCGAUGUUGAAGAAGUGUCAUAUGAGUGCCCCAAAGAGUCAGAAGCAUCCAGAAGAGCCUGUGGUGAACAGCAUCAUGACACAGUGGCGUUUCAUUGGGCCUGGAGGG